rnacentral:lncRNA from 1 species
CUCCAGAAUGCCAGUUUUCCGUAUUUGGUGUGCUGAUCGCAUCAUAAGGAAAUCGGUUGUGUCAGUAGCAGAAAUUGAAGAACUAAAGAAAAAAAGCAACACAAAAACUCGGUUUGGAGUUGGUAGGACCUACGAAGUUAGUUCUAGAGAAAUGUGGUACAGAAGUGGACGACGAUGAGGUGUUGGAAGAAAUUGCUGAUGAAGUCUUACUAUUGUUGGCUGAUGGAGAAACUUAUACACCAUCUGUAGCUCAGCAAAUACCUGACUCUACUCGAAGUUUGGUAACAUGUACUACAGGCGAUGUACUUCAACCCAGCAGGAGUGCAAGUGACAACGAAAAGGCAAGCACAAGUUCAAGUGAGACAGAGGCAUAUGCCAGUCACAAAUCAUGUAACACAUUAUCAUUGCCUUUGCCAGAACUCUCACGGGCAACCCGAGAUGACUUACAACAGGGAGAUAAAUCAAGACGGGUCUGGUUGCAGCUGAUAGAAGAAUCCAAGAACUACUACUUGAAGUAUUGCCCUCUGCUUGAUGAAAACCCUUAAGCUACGGUUACACUAGCCACUGCUACCCCUGGGCCCAGCCUUGGGCCUGGGUUUACAAGGCAAGUGGUUUCACAUAGCCCAGCCCCAGUCCUGGGCACUCUUGAUCUUGAUUUUGAUACUUGGUGCGCCGAUCUAAACAAAGCGCAUCAGACCUCAAGAUGGCUUCUCUAGGAGACUAUAUAUGGCCUCUUGUGGCCACGCAAUGGACUUUUCAACAGAAGCCAUGUUUAAAACCUUGCCCUGCAGCGUGUGUUUGUUUACAUCUGAGGAUUUCCCAGGUCAAGCGAGGGAUGAUGUUUUCUAAUAAUUUGUGUGCAGCUAAUUAUAACUAAUCAUGCAUGAAAAUAAAUAAAUUGCAUAUAUAGUGAUAUAAUAUCUAGAUAUUUUAUUAUUUAGGAAAAUUUGGGUUUAGUUAUUUGCGUGAAUAAUAUAGUCUCUUAGUUCCUAGUGGUGUGCCCAGGCCUAGAGCUGGGGAGAAAACGGUCUGGCGCGUCCACUCAACUUUGCCCUGGGCUGGGCGAUUUAGCCAGGGCUGGGCGCCCGGCCCCGGCUAAAUCGCCUAGCCCAGGGGUAUCAUUGGCUAGUGUAACCGCACCUUUUAUGCGGCAUACAAGAUUAUUGGAGAGAAGAUGUUAGCUGCUUACCCUAGUAUCGAGAGGGAAGGGAAACAUAAAUGGAGCCAGUAUGCGAAAGCACUCAGUCAAAGUAUACGCACAGAGCGUUUUAGACGUAAAAGAAAAAGCCUUCCUGUAACUCAAGAACAACAGCUGCCCCCUAAAAGAUUCACCAUGGGGAAGCACACAGUUACAGACGCCAGCAGUGCUCUUCCAGAAGAAGAGUUUGAAAAGCAUGUUCUUGAAAUCCAGAAGGUUUGGAAUACUUCAGCAUGCAGUAGCUCACAUGUAGAUAUGCUGCUUAGGGAAUCCUACUGCAACAGAAGACAAUGGUUGCCAUAUCUACCAAAUGGAAAAUUGGCACCAAUACUGGAGAAAUUCCCAUGUUUUCAAGAGUCAAGAGUAAAGAAAUUAUGUUAAUCCUUGUUGUUUUUGCAUGCAACUAUUAAUUUCAUUUCGUUUGAUAACCAUUCCUUCAAAUUCUGUUGUUGAUGAUUUUAUUUACUUAUUUCUAAUCCAUAAUUUCGAACAAUAGUGUUUGAUUUUCCUUUUUUGUAAAUGACAAUCUUUUGGAUAUUCUUUUUAGGUACUGAGUGAAGUGGAACGCAUGUUGCUAUGUGAAAUAUCAACAUGGAAAGACAGAUUGGAGAAAAUUGUAGAGACUCUGAGUGAUCAAGUACCUUCUAGUACACGUAACAAUGAUGGAAGUGUUUAUUUUCUUGUAAAUGUGUCAGUUUAUUGGGUACGUGA